AGCCGGACGACGCGUCAUACCUGAUAAGCGUCAUAAUUGGUAUCCUGGCUGACGCGUUCGUCAUUUACCGGGUGCAAGUGUUCUCGGACAAGCUGGGACAACAGUAGACACCUUCUGUCCUCGCCAGCUGCGAUCGCGAUAUACACGUCGCGCGACUGCGCAGUGUAACACUGCUCACCAUUUCGUAGAACAUCACACACUGCGCUACAAAAUUAAAGAUUGAGUGAAUUCUUU
rnacentral:lncRNA from 1 species